rnacentral:lncRNA from 1 species
UUUUUUUUUUUUUUUUUUUAAUCCUUCAUUAAGAGGAGGGGCUUGAUGUAAUGCCCCUCUCAGAAAUCAGUCAUGGUUUGCGGUGACUUUGGUGGCCCCUGCUAUUGUCCUCACAGGUCAGGAUGCAGUUUGAGACUUUGUUUCUUCCAAAUCUGACUGGAGGGAAAACCACUGCCACCACCACCAGCAGCACCACCACAAACACACUUUGCUGCAGCAAGCGACGCUGUUUCUUGUCAGCACCCAGGGGACUUUGUUUACCAUAAUUCACUUUAGAUGGGCAUAAUAAAAUAUUUUCUUGAGUAUUUUGUAAGAUUAAUAAAGCAGCAUUCCUAGGGAAAGUUUAUUAAUCCAUAACUUACAGAAAACUCCAGAGGAAGAAGAUAUGAGCUAUGUUCUCUGGGUGCAGACGUCAGGCGUGCCACUCGUAGAGUUGAAUUAUGCAUGCAUUAUUCAGCUAUAGCUACUUUCUAGGUGCAUUACAGGUGGCUGAUGUGAUGGUGACUUUGUCUUGGAUGUGGUCGAAACAAGCAGUUGUCUCUCUGUCUUUUUAGAUUGGGAGGGUGUGAAAGGGAAGGUGGCAAGGUGUAGAAUAAUCACAGCCCUUGUGAUGUCAUCCUUUCCAUCCCCUCGGCUGACAUGUCAGCCAGGUUAGUUAGACACCAAAGCGUGCUUUUGAACCUUGGCUCUUUUGCUGUGCAGGCACUGGGUGUCUGCUGUCUGUCAGAUGGAGAUGGUGGUGCUGGUGGCAGUGAUGAUAGUUAGGAUGAGGCGGAUGGAGGAGGAGGGUGACGGCUACUUCUGUGUCCUUGACACAGAGUUAUGAUUUAUGGGAAGGACUUGGUACGCUGUUCCUUCAUCCAUUCACUCAACAUUUUUGGGCCUGGACACGGUACUGGCACAAUGACGGGCUCCAAUUUUUUUUUUUUUUCUUUUUGGCAAUAAAAAAAGACACAGAUUUCUACCUCAAGAUCCAAGGUUAGUCCAGGAAGCACAAAUAAACAGACACUAAUAUGGUCAGGUAUGGCCCCGAAAAGCAUUAGUUGCAGUGAAAAAUAAGACGGAAGGAUGGAUGUUGCCAGGUUAGGAAAGCUAAACAUUCAGAAGGUGAUGUAGAAUUUGCUGAUGAUCUUUGGUGCAAUAAAUGUGUUCUGGGUACCCUGCUGGAUUUACAGGGUGAGCGUGACAGAAACUCUAGUUGCCCGUGUAGUGUGUACAGUCUCCUGUGGAAAUGCAGUCAACAAAGGCAGAAGGAGACAUGCUCUAGUUUGGGGGACCAUGAUAAAGGCAGGAAUGGGGACGUCCAUGUAUGAAGAGCCCUACGUAAGUUGGUUCUUUUUUUUUUUUCUUCUUUUUCCUGAUUUUGGUCAUCCCAUAGCAUAUGGAGUUCCCAGGCCAGGGAUCAGAGCAGAGCUACAGUUGUAAGUUACGCUGCCCAUGAACCGUAAGGUUGCGGGUUCGAUCCCUGACCUUGCUCAGGGGCUUAAUGAUCCGGCGUUGCCGUGAGCUGUGGUGUAGGUUGCAGACGCGGCUCGGAUCCUGCGUUGCUGUGGCUCUGGCGUAGGCUGGUGGCUACAGCAGGAGCGGCCCAAGAAAUGGCAAAAAGACAAAAGACAAAAAAAAAAAAAAAAAAAAGACAAAAAAAAAAAUCUGCCACUAAAUCACUCAAAGAAAACAACAAAUGUAUACAUGUAUAACUGGGUCACUAUGCUGUACAGUAGAAAAAAAAUAAUGUAUUGGGGAAAAAACAACAAACAAAAAAUAUUUGUAGAUGAGGUAUAACUGGCCUGUAGCUUUUAGCUCAUAAACUACCUACCCAUCAGUGAAUUUUGGCUUAUUCUUUUUUUUUAAUUAAAAAUAAAUUUUUAAUACAAUUUUUAAAGGUUGCUUUUCAUUUAUAGUUAAUAGGAAAUAUCUACUGUAUCACCCAUAUUGUACAAUACAUCCUUGAGCCUGUCAUUGAGCCAGUAGUUUUUUUUCCUCAUUUAUUGUAAACCAGCUAUAUUGGAAAAUAUAAAAAUCAUUAUAAAUGAGAAUUUUGGCUUAUUCUUUAUAAUUAGUGUGUUAUGACUACAUAAGUCUCCCUCAAGUGCAAGUUAGGUCAAUAUACCAUGGGGUAAAUUGGGCCAUUUUGGGUAAAGGAAAGUUUCUGCAAGACAGUUGAAUGGUGGAAAUUGGUUCUCACUUGUUUCUGUGUGUUCCUGCAGUCACCUUGCUUUUACUGUUCUUGGCCAGAUGCUUCUGAUACUUGGGACAGCUUCAGUCCAACCAGUGUCUGAGGCAAUUCUGGUGUGUACUUAGCUGUUUGCUGGACAGCCCUGAGGUUUUGUCUGUUUGUGUCUGAGUCUACAGCUGCCUUAAUUAAGCUUGUUAUGUGCUGCUACUGAGGCAAAUCCCUGCAGUGAGUCAAAUGAGUAGUUUUAGGGUCUGAAAAUGACAGCGUUCUGUGGCUUUCUCAUUUAGGGUUGAGCCUCCCAGCCACUAAAAUAUGCACAUUUCCAACCAGAGUGAGAACAUGAGCAACUUAGUAGUUACUGUGGAAUUGAGCGAAUGUCAUAAAUAUUUAUUUAUCUUCUUCAUAGCUGGCAUAAAAAUGUUAGGAUAUAAAAAAAGUUGUUCACUAUAAAAACAACAGAAAAUUCAUUGGCUAUACAUCUCCUGAAUGCAUGUGUCUCUUUGGGUUUUCAUUAGCGUCUAGCAAUAUACUUUGAGAAAUUAGAUUUGAACACAAGCUUCAGCAGAAGACGAGAGCCCCUGGUAUUCAUAAUUAACCUGUUUUUAGCAAGGAUCCAUUGCAUACUGUAGUCUUCUUUUAACCAUGUAGUGGCUGUGGUCAAGUUUGAUGAAUGGUUCUUUCUGAAUUUUUUCUUAGAGAAGCGAUCCCUGUUUAUUGAAUUU